rnacentral:rRNA from 1 species
GAUGAACGCUGACAGAAUGCUUAACACAUGCAAGUCGAUUCGAUUUACCUUCGGGUAUUGAGGAUGGCGGACGGGUGAGUAACGCGUAAGGAACUUGCCUCUUGGUCUGGGACAACUGUUGGAAACGACAGCUAAUACCGGAUAUUAUGAGAUUCUCGCAUGGGAAACUUAUGAAAGCUAUAUGCGCCAAGAGAGAGCCUUGCGUUCCAUUAGCUAGUUGGUGGGGUAACGGCCCACCAAGGCGACGAUGGAUAGCCGGCCUGAGAGGGUGAACGGCCACAAGGGGACUGAGACACGGCCCUUACUCCUACGGGAGGCAGCAGUGGGGAAUAUUGGACAAUGGGCCACAAGCCUGAUCCAGCAAUUCUGUGUGCACGAUGAAGGUCUUCGGAUUGUAAAGUGCUUUCAGUUGGGAAGAAGAAAGUGACGGUACCAACAGAAGAAGCGACGGCUAAAUACGUGCCAGCAGCCGCGGUAAUACGUAUGUCGCAAGCGUUAUCCGGAUUUAUUGGGCGUAAAGCGCGUCUAGGCGGAAAAAUAAGUCUGAUGUUAAAAUGCGGGGCUCAACUCCGUAUUGCGUUGGAAACUGUUUUUCUAGAGUACUGGAGAGGUGGGCGGAACUACAAGUGUAGAGGUGAAAUUCGUAGAUAUUUGUAGGAAUGCCGAUGGAGAAGUCAGCUCACUGGACAGAUACUGACGCUAAAGCGCGAAAGCGUGGGGNGC